CUCUAACUACUUGUAGGCACACGGUUUCAGGUUCUCUUUCACUCCCCUUCCUGGAAUUACCGCUUGGGGGUCUGACCCCGUUUGUUAUAAUCAAGAGCUACGAACCCUUGUCUUUCCUGGAAUUACCGCUUGGGGGUCUGACCCCGUUUGUUAUAAUCAAGAGCUACGAACCCUUGUCUUUCCUGGAAUUACCAUCUCCCAAGGCUAAAUACUCCCUAGUGACCGAUAGUGAACCAGUACCGUGAGGGAAAGGUGAAAAGCACCCCGGGAGGGGAGUGAAAGAGAACCUGAAACCGUGUGCCUACAAGUAGUUAGAGC
rnacentral:ncRNA from 1 species